rnacentral:rRNA from 1 species
AGUUCGGAUUGCAGGCUGAAACCCGCCUGCAUGAAGUUGGAAUCGCUAGUAAUCGCGGAUCAGCAUGCCGCGGUGAAUACGUUCCCGGGCCUUGUACACACCGCCCGUCACACCACGAGAGUCGGGAACACCCGAAGUCCGUAGUCUAACCGCAAGGGGGACGCGGCCGAAGGUGGGUUCGAUAAUUGGGGUGAAGUCGUAACAAGGUAUC